rnacentral:rRNA from 1 species
AUUGAACGCUGGCGGCAGGCCUAACACAUGCAAGUCGAAUGGUAACAGGAAACAGCUUGCUGUUUCGCUGACGAGUGGCGGACGGGUGAGUAAUGUCUGGGAAACUGCCUGAUGGAGGGGGAUAACUACUGGAAACGGUAGCUAAUACCGCAUAACGUCGCAAGACCAAAGAGGGGGGACCUUCGGGCCUCUUGCCAUCAGAUGUGCCAGAUGGGAUUAGCUAGUAGGUGGGUAACGGCUCACCUAGGCGACAAUCCCUAGCUGGUCUGAGAGGAUGACCAGCCACACUGGAACUGAGACACGGUCCAGACUCCUACGGGAGGCAGCAGUGGGGAAUAUUGCACAAUGGGCGCAAGCCUGAUGCAGCCAUGCCGCGUGUAUGAAGAAGGCCUUC